rnacentral:lncRNA from 1 species
ACCGCCAUCACCCUCUGUCUCCUCAUUCUCUCUCCUCUAUCUCCCUCUUUCUCCCCCUUAUUCCUCCUUGCUCCUUGCUCUUCCUCCCUUCCCUUCCUUCCACCUCCUCCUCACUCUUCCUCUCCCUUGCAUCUUUCUUGCUACUAAAGCUCCUCCCCUUCCCUUACCUUUUCUGAUUGCGACCAAAGCCCUUUUAGUCGCAACCAAAUUUGACCUCUCUUUGGUUGAGACCAUUGCGACUAGAAGGAUGACGGAGGAGAAGGGGAUCUAGUCGGGAAAGGGAAGGGAUGGAACGGGAGAAGAGGAGGAAAAAAAGGAAAGGAAGGGGAGGAAGAAAGAGAGAAAGGAUAAGAGAGAGGGAAGAGAAAGGAGGUGGCCAUGGUGGUAGGUGUUGGUAGAUGGUGA